rnacentral:rRNA from 1 species
GAUGAACGCUGGCGGCGUGCCUAACACAUGCAAGUCGAGCGGUAAGGCCACUUCGGUGGUACACGAGCGGCGGACGGCUGAGUAACGCGUAGGAACGUACCCCAAACUGAGGGAUAAGCACCAGAAAUGGUGUCUAAUACCGCACGUGCUCUUCGGAGUAAAGCUACGGCGGUUUGGGAACGGCCUGCGCAUGAUUAGCUUGUUGGUAAGGUAAUGGCUUACCAAGGCGACGAUCAUUAGCUGGUCUGAGAGGAUGAUCAGCCAGACUGGGACUGAGAACGGCCCAGACUCCUACGGGAGGCAGCAGUGGGGAAUUUUUCACAAUGGGCGAAAGCCUGAUGGAGCAACGCCGCGUGCAGGAUGAAUGCCUUCGGGUUGUAAACUGCUUUUGUCUGUGACGAUUAUGACGGUAGCAGAUGAAUAAGGAUCGGCUAACUCCGUGCCAGCAGCCGCCGCAG